rnacentral:rRNA from 1 species
AAUCAACGCUGGCGGCGUGCCUAACACAUGCAAGUCGAACGCGAAAGCCCUUUCGGGGGUAAGUAGAGUGGCGUCCGGGUGAGUAACACGUAGGUAAUCUACCUUCGGGUGGGGAAUAACUCGCCGAAAGGCGAGCUAAUACCGCAUAAUGCAGCGGCACCUAAUGGUGAUUAGUUGUUAAAGCGGGGGAUCGUAAGACCUCGCGCCUGAAGAGGAGCCUGCGGCAGAUUAGCUAGNGGUGAGGUAAUGGCUCACCAAGGCUUCGAUCUGUAGCUGGUCUGAGAGGACGGCCAGCCACACUGGCACUGACACACGGGCCAGACUCCUACGGGAGGCAGCAGUGGGGAAUUUUGGGCAAUGGGCGCAAGCCUGACCCAGCAACGCCGCGUGAGGGAGGAAAUCCUUGGGAUGUAAACCUCACAAGCAAGGGAAGAGAGC